rfam:Zea mays cultivar B73 chromosome 1, whole genome shotgun sequence.
GUGGAAGGGGCAUGCAGAGGAGGAGCACGAGCGAGGUGUGGCUGGAAGAAGCAGCCGGGGCCUGUGUGCUAUAUACCCCUCGCAAGCUCUCCUCACUCCUCUCCUGUGCCUGCCUCUUCCAUU